rnacentral:rRNA from 1 species
GGUUGAUCCUGCCAGUAUUAUAUGCUGAUGUUAAAGAUUAAGCCAUGCAUGUGUAAGUAUAAAGACCAAGUAGGAUGAAACUGCGGACGGCUCAUUAUAACAGUAAUAGUUUCUUUGGUUAGUAAAGUACAAGGAUACCUUUGUGAAUGAUAAAGAUAAUACUUGAGACGAUCCGACUUGUAUUAGUACAAGUUGGCCACCUUUUUUACGAGAGGUGAAAAAUGACAUUCUGGAUUGAACAAGAAUGCCACGACAAUUGUAGAGCACACAGUGUUUAACAAGUAACCAAUGA